rnacentral:lncRNA from 1 species
UUAAGUAUCUACUCUUGUCUACUAGUGGUCCCGGUACUAACUAAAAUGAUUUUGGUUAGAUAAAAAGUGGACAUGUGAGUUUCUAUAUACUUACAGAUUCUUUGAAAGAGUUUACUACUUUAUUCUAGAAUUAUCGUAUGUUGAUAAAUAGAAUGAUUACUAACUUUUCAUCAGAGACAGAUGGUAAUAUAGAAAUCGCUACGAUUUGGGAAACACUGGUGCUGCCACACUCUUAAGCUACGUCUAACAAUAAGAGUAGUCUUAAGCGUCUGGAAUCCCGAUAAAACAGUUUUAUGAAGAAUGUCGAGGUUAGAAAAUAAAAUUUAUUUUCAUAUUUACAUUCAGUAAACAUAACUUUCUGCUUAAUAUGUUUACUAAACAGUGCUUACUAAUUUGUUGUCGCUCGAUCAUAUCUGGUCUAUAUUAAACAACUAUGACUAGAUGGGCAUGCAAUGCAUAUUAAGAAAAAUGCGUAAUGUUUUUUUGGGUGGAUGUCAACGUGAUGUGAAUAAUUUUAUCACGUUGGAAGAAGGCGAGAAAACUUAUUACAUUUUACAGUGAUGCUGAUUGUUAUAGCAUUCUUAUUCCUAAGAAAUAAUCUAUAUAUAUUCCUAUGUGUGUGAAAGAAUGAAUGAUACAAAUAUGUGCAAGAAAUAUGUAAAUCUUGUUAAUAAAUCCUGGAAAUCAUUUUUCAAAUCAA